rnacentral:rRNA from 1 species
AUUGAACGCUAGCGGGAUGCUUUACACAUGCAAGUCGAACGAGUGGCGGGCGGGUGAGUAAUAUAUCGGAACGUGCCCAGUAGAGGGGGAUAACUACUCGAACGAGUGGCUAAUACAGCCUACUAUUGGAGCGGCCGAUAUGGGCUGGGCUAGUUGGUGGGGUAAAGGCUCACCAAGGCAACGAUACGUAGCGGGUUUGAGAGGACGACCAGGCACACGUGGACGGAGACACGGCCCAGACGCCUACGUGAGGCAGCAGUGGGGAAGUUUGGACAAUGGGGGAAACCCUGAUCGCGCCAUCCCGCGUGUAUGAGAAGGCCUUCGGGUUGUAAAGUACUUUUGGCAGAGAAGCGGUAUCUGCAGAAUAAGCACCGGCUAACUACGUGCCAGCAGCCGCGGUAAUAC